GCCCUGGAAGGCUGACAGAUACAGCGGGCAUCCAGCUGAAAGGCAACAUGAUGCACAGAGCUGGCUACAGUUCUACACAGAAUAAACUGCAUGAAUGAAGAGAAUGUGGUUUCCCCCCUGCCCCAGCUGACACCAAGGAAGAGAAUGCAACGAUUUGUACGGAAUUGCUUUGGACUGAUGUACAAAGAACAAUAUUAUGUUUCAUAAUUAUGUUCCAAAUGAUAAAGGAUUUUUCCUGCCAAAACCUCUCUGUAAGUGCCCCAGCAUCAUCAACUGAUGGCAGCACAGCUCUGGGAAUAAACAGACUUUCAGCUAAUGGCAGGAAUCGUCAGGGGAAACAGCAAACAGGUAUUUCUUCCUGAUAUAGAAUGAAACAUAUGAUUAAAGUUAAAUGCCAAAUCCUA